rnacentral:rRNA from 1 species
AUUGAACGCUGGCGGCAGGCUUAACACAUGCAAGUCGAGCGGGGUGAUGGUGCUUGCACUAUCACUUAGCGGCGGACGGGUGAGUAAUGCUUAGGAAUCUGCCUAUUAGUGGGGGACAACAUCUCGAAAGGGAUGCUAAUACCGCAUACGUCCUACGGGAGAAAGCAGGGGAUCACUUGUGACCUUGCGCUAAUAGAUGAGCCUAAGUCGGAUUAGCUAGUUGGUGGGGUAAAGGCCUACCAAGGCGACGAUCUGUAGCGGGUCUGAGAGGAUGCUCCGCCACACUGGGACUGGGACACGGCCCAGACUCCUACGGGGGGCAGCAGUGGGGAAUAUUGGACAAUGGGGGGAACCCUGAUCCAGCCAUGCCGCGUGUGUGAAGAAGGCCUUAUGGUUGUAAAGCACUUUAAGCGAGGAGGAGGCUCUUUUGGUUAAUACCCAAGAUGAGUGGACGUUACUCGCAGAAUAAGCACCGGCUAACUCUGUGCCAGCCGCCGCCGUAA